AAACAUUCUAAAAACAAUCGUGUUGCACUGGGGAUGAUGAAACACAACUAAGAACAUGGUUCUUCAUUAUUGGUUAUGAAAGUCAUAGUUAGGUAAAACCUAGCUAAAUUGUUUUCUAGCUAAGUAUAACUCAGAUCUUUACCGUUACAGGUAGAUACACAUGAUGACUAUAGAAGCAGAUGCUGCAGUGCAUGAUGAAUAAGGGGACAAAACUCACUUGCCAGACCUAUCAAGAAACCUAGUUCUCUAACACAGGUUAGUGGUUUCUUGGUUCUUUCAUACACAAUUUAAAAUGAACUAAAAAAAUAAUGCCAUAUCAUCAUCAACGUGACAUACUCUUUAAAGUAGUGUCUCUUUGUCUGAUACGUCAUAACCCAAACGUCACUCAUUUCUCUAAACGAUAUAUCUCCAAGGCAAAAGGGUGUUACCAUUUCAGAACGGGGGCCUCAUCAUAAUUAAAUCAACAACACAACUCUUUAUCUUCCAAACUCAAAAUUCCCUGUUUGUCUUCUCUCUUCUCAAAUCCACACUCCCUCGAGAAUUCUCAGCAUGCCUGAAAAUAAGCAACCGUUAGUAUGCCUGAUAAAACUGUGACUAAGUCCUCACCAGUGAGAAUUCCAGCAAAGGACCUCUCUCCAAACCCUUAAGAAGAGUUUCCUCCACACUCCACUACCUUUGCCACCCUCUCCGAGUCCACUCCUCUAUGAAAGUAUGAAGAUGUUUGUCCUCAUCCAUUCUCACUGGUCAAACAGAGUCAAUAGAGUGAACAAAGAAACCUCGUUUAGGAACCUUCUAGUUUUCUAUGGCUAAGAACUUGAUGUAAAGAACAUGUGACUAGUCAUGAAGAGACUGAAAUCUCUUGGACAAGUGAUGACUUAGAAGGCAUCACUCCUUCAUCUAUUGAAAUCACCAUGGAACCACAAGAAAAUAAAGAAAUAGAGAAUAUGUUUUACAUUACGUCAUAAGAGGUCAUUAUAGAGGAAUGUGCAAGAGAGUCUGAGCCUCAAAGGGAAGAAAUAGAAGAAGAGGGAGCAAUUGUGCCAUUUGAUCAGCCGGCACAAGCUGAUGCUACUGGGUCCCCAAAUAACGAACCUGAUCCUUCCAUGGAGAAUCCAGGCCGGGAGUCAUCUUCCCAGGUCAGUAUUGAUCUUGCUGCCUCUCCCCACUUCGAUGCUGAGACUUUGAAUAUGGGGGUGCUUGAGACAAAUCCUGACAAUGAAGAAUACGCAAAUGAUUUAGUGUAUUCUAACUUCAUCAAGGCUAGGACUAAGCCAACGGUAACUUGAACGCCACCUGCUAAGCGACCUAAUAGACAACUGUAGAAAAAGAAGGCUCUAGAGUUUGCCCUAAAGAAGAGUAAAAGGAGUAGAAGAAGGAGAAAGUUGGUUAAGGAUGGAAAAGUUGUACAAGAAGAGAAUGUUCCUAUAGUGGAUAUGGAUGAGGAAACCAAAGAAGAACCUAGUUCCUUAUACUGAAAGUCUUCAAGGAAAAUGCACUGUCUCUCUCAAUCUGAAAAGCACACCUCUAAGGAUGCUAAGAUUUUUUCCAAGAGUGAUGUUGCGGGUUCUAGUAAAAAGCUGUCAAAACGUUCUGGUGACAAGACAAUGAAGGAGGGUGGUGACAAGUCUUAUGAGGAACAAGUGGAGAAAUCUAGUAAACAUAGGUAGAGCAAGUCACUGGAGAAGGAAAUGUCUGUUGAAAAGUCAAUGAAAGGAAAUAGGGAUAAUGAUGAUGAUAAUAAGGAACCACGUUGCGUCAAGAAAGGAAAGAUGAGUGAAACUCUAAGGUUUGAGAAAGGGAAGCUGGGGAAUCAAAAAGUGUUGUGGGGCUGCACUUUUGCCUCUGACAUUCUAGAGAGUGCUGUGAUGAGACAAGUUUGGAUGUUUGUGAUGCUCAACAGUGGACAAAUUUGUUUACAAGUGAGGCUCCUAUAGUGUAUGAGGAGGAGGUGUUGAGUUUCUAUACUAGCCUCUUCACAGUAGAUGGUGAUCAAAUUUGUGUGUUGGUAAAUGAGGUAGAUAUAGUGAUGGAUUCUUCCUUAUGGGGGCCAAUUAUGGAUGUUCCUAUCGAAGAAUUGUCAUCUGCUCGGGCACUUGCACAACAAACUUUAGAAAUGCCAUUGUCAAGGGCAAGGCACUACAUCAUGUGGAAUAGGUGCAUAAGAAGGCACUCCUUCCAGUUUAUCAACUGCUCUUUGAGAUGGUUAACAAAGUAUUACUUCCUCGUACUGAAAGAAAAUAUGUUGUAUCCAAAGUCAGAGGAGUUUGAAGCACUUCCAAAAUCUCUCAACUGAUAAAUUCUCAGAAUAGUGCCAUUGAGAAGAUUCAGAAGUUGAAGGCUAGGAGCACGAUUCUUGAGAAUCCGCUUAGUCAGUUGAAAGAGGUAUUUAUUUCCAGUGGUUCUCACAGCACAGAGUUUGCACGCCUAUCAAAGGAGAAUUUUGAUCUAAGUAAAUAGGUAUAGGACCUGUAAGAAAGACUGCUCAAUGAGAAACUAUCCGCGAAGCUUGCAUGGAUCUUGUCCUCCAAACUCUUGCUUUCUCUUCCAAGUCCCCUUCCUCCAAUGUCCCUUAGAGAAUGUUCCCUUGGUGUCCAGUGUCUAUCCUUUUAUGUUGUUGUUGGUGAUAUUUUGUUAUUUUUGGUAUAUGUUUUUUAUAUGUUCUAGAUUUUGGAUGGAAAACAAUGACAUAGCUAUUGCCUGUAAUAGUCCAAUUCUUGUAAAUGAAAGUUGUUUCCCUUUUGCUAUCUAUGAUGCUGCUCUUUACUUCUGUCUUUUAUCAUGAUGUGAGCACAUAAGUGAAAUGAGUUAACUAUGAUAGACUUCUUUAUGCUGCUAACAUGUUCUGUCCUCUUUAUGAUGCCAAAAGAGGAAAGAUUUAAUUUAAUAAUCAAAAUAAAGAUGGGGGAACCUCAUUCAAGGGGAACUCACAAAAUUUCAGAAACUGAGGAUAUACAACGUGAAUCUAUCGAUGUCAAUGAAACUUUUUCACCGGUAGUCAAACUGACUACCAUCAGAUGCCUUCUAGCUGCAGCAGUCAAACGGAAUUGGGGAAUUUACCAAUUCGACGUGAAUAAUGCAUUCUUGUACGGUGAUCUAAAUGAGGAAGUGUGUAUGAAAUUACCUCCUGGUAUUAUGUCUCCUCCCCUUAGACAUGUUAGCAGGUUGGAGAAGUCCCUUUAUGGACUUCAAUAUUAUUCUAGGCAAUGGUAUGCAAAGCUGACCACUACAUUAAACUUCAAAGGAUUGAUUCAUUCUUUAAAAGGAUAUUCUCUUUUUUUCAAGAAAACAAACUAUCCUAUCUCAAUUGUUGUUAUUUAUGUCGACGAUAUACUUCUAAUAGAUAAUGACAAUUCAAAACUACGAUCUCCAAAGGAAUUUUUAGACCAAGAGUUCAAAAUAAAGGAUCUCGGAGACUUAUAUUUUUUCAUAAGAAUGGAAGUUGUUCGUGAACCUUAGGGGCUUAUCCUUCAUCAGAGAAAGUUCACUCUAGAUCUUCUCCGGGAGUUCAAUACACUAUAUGUACGCCAUGUCUCUUCUUCUCUUGAUCCAUCUGUCAAGCUAAAUGCUAUGGUUGGUGCUGUCAUACCAGAUCCUACUUUAUAUCAGCAUCUUUUGGGAAACUCAAUUACCUAACACAUACGAGGCCUGAUCUUUCUUUCUCGAUUCGCAUUUAAGUCAGUACAUGCAAGACCCGCGAAAACCUCAUCUUGAUGUAGCUUUUCGAGUGCUACAUUAUCUGUUACGCGAUCCUGGUCUUGGAAUUUUUAUGACAGCCUCUUCCUCUUUUGAGUUGUUGGCUUUUUGUGACUCGGAUUGGGGCUCCUGUCUAGAUUCUCGUUGCUCUGUGAGUGGCUACUUCAUAUCACUUGGUCCUUCUCCUAUUUCAUGGAAAUCAAGGAAGCAAGCCUCAAUCCUGCUAAGUUAUGCCGAGGCUGAGUAUCGCAGCAUGCAGCGAGUUGUUACAGAGCUCACCUGGUUGGUACGUUUGUUUGAUGAUCUCUCAAUCCCCAUAUCACUUCUUGUUCAUCUUCACUCCGACAGUCAAGCUGCAAUCCUAGCUAAGAACCCCGUCUUUCAUGAAAGGACGAAGCACGUGGAGAUUGACUAUCAUUUUGUGCGUCAACAGUAUCUCACAUGUUUAAUUUCCCUCUCUUUCGUCCGAUCUUCUUCUCAUUUGGUAGAUCUAUUUACCAAAUCCCUCACCGGCCUUGUUCAUCGCAAUCUAUUGUGCAAGUUGGGGUCCUCUCGUCCCCCGCCAACUUGAGGGGGGAUGUUGGUGCACAACCUAGAAGUACGCUAGUAGAGAAGAACAAAAAGAAGAACAAAUAUCUCUUAUUUAGAAACACCAAGGAAGAAGAUAGAGGCGGUGGAAGCUAAGUGUUUGUUUGAAGGGUUUC
rnacentral:lncRNA from 1 species